ACCUGGCUCAGGAUGAACGCUGACAGAAUGCUUAACACAUGCAAGUCUACUUGAACUUCGGUUUGGGUGGCGGACGGGUGAGUAACGCGUAAAGAACUUGCCUCACAGUUAGGGACAACAUUUGGAAACGAAUGCUAAUACCUGAUAUUAUGAUUUUAGGGCAUCCUAAGAUUAUGAAAGUUAUAUACGCUGUGAGAGAGCUUUGCGUCCCAUUAGCUAGUUGGAGAGGUAACGGCUCACCAAGG
rnacentral:rRNA from 1 species